AAAACACUGGCGCCCCUGCAACCUGCUGCUGCUCCAUAACGCGGCGAAUAACAGCUCACAGCGUGCGCGUGCGAGUGAAGCACGAGCUCCAUUCGUGCCACAUGUUAUUUCAGUGGCAGCUGCUGCCAGGUGAGAUUACCUGCAGACCCUCCACCAAGGCGUCGUUACCAAACACAAAGCGCACCACAAGUUUUCUCUCUACGUCUGCGCACCUUCUCCCGGUGGACAGCUCGCUGACUCUGAUCUUCCUGGCGGAUGACAAGACUCAGGAUGACGGCAGGACGCGGAAGAGGAGUGCGGUGUUGAUCCUCCCUGGUGGACGGCAGGAAGGGAUCAUGGCAAAGAAUAAAGACGCACGACGUCAUUCGGUUCCAGUCCGAAACCGAGGUAGGGCAACUGAGGCAGCUCGGGGGAGCACGGUCUGUUCCGGGGAGAGCAGAGCGAGGACCGCCACAAGAUUACUUCAGUCAGUGGGAAACACGUUAGUGGUUCUUCUGAUGUAACAAUUCCUGGAAGAGGUUUCUGAUUUCUAUUUCAGAAUUUUGGCAUCCUGGUGUAUGAAACCAUCCCCUGACAUCAGCGCUAAAUUAAAUUCUUCAGUUUAACCCACAUGCCAGCUGACCUCAAGUCAUCUUUGCUUCCUCACAAAGUUCAUCAUAUGUCAUCACCUCGCUGCUUGAGAUAAAAAGCUUGAAAGCUUUCCAAACUUUCUUUUUGCAUCGGGGUCACACAGUUGGAUAUUCAUUAAGCCAAGAAGAAACCUACUGCUGAAGGGAUUUUACUUGUUAGAUAUGAUUUACGGCAGCAGUCUGACCUCCUGCUGCUGGAUUCACUCACAUGCACUCUAAUCGUUUGAUUAUAACCAGAGGAAGGCAACGCUGCCUUCCUAAAAAUCUUGAGUUUAUGAGUGAGGUUUUGUACUCGCGUGACAGUUAAAACUAUAAUUCAGUUAACAGGGAUCUACAUUUGUCUUUCAAAUGACUCUUGGCAUGUAUAAAACAGUCAUUUAAAAAAAAAUGAUGUUUUGAUUUCAUGCCAAAAAUGUGAACUGGAUAAAAAACAGUCUACAAAGAGCACAGCACAGAGAGAGUAGCUGUAGAGUUUUUGGGCAAAAGGUGAAACAGAUUAAAUAACUCUAUGAAGAGUUUGUGCUAAACUGCUCUGUAAAAUCAUAAUCAAUACAAUUACAAUAAACAUUACACAGUACCCUGCAUGCAGAUUUCAUAGCCUUACUGUGUGUCCCGAUAGAAUAAAAGUUCAUUCUACCUGUAGCAUCGCAGCAUUAAUGUCAAUGUGAAGUCGAGAGUAGGUGUAGUUUGCAACUCUGUUUUAUAAAAAUUAUCUUCCAAUGCAAAUGAACUACAAAUAUAAUCAUAUUAUGAUCAUUUAGUGCAAUGUAGUUUUAAUGAAUGAUCUGUGACAGUUAUUAACAGAAGGCUAGAUGCAAAGAAGUGGUUCAGGUGAAAAUCCAAAACCUCUAACCCUCAUACCUAAGUUUAAAUCUGAUGUGGUAUUACAUCAACAAAAGCAUUUUGGUUAGGGUUAGAGAAAUGUUGUGGUUUUGUUCAAUAAAGAUGCUGCAAGUGAAGUGAUUGUAAUUUUUUCUAACUUUAAGCCAGUGCUGUGAGUGCCUGAACCCAACCUUAAAAGACUGUAAUCAAAAAACUGAAUAUUGUGCUGCAACCUUGAACAUUUUUGCAGAAAAGAAAACAGGAUUUUGUAGAUUGAAUCUUUCGGUGAAAAAAAAAAAGUUGUGUAAAUGUAAUUGAUAUGUUUAAUAUUAUUGUAUUUGUGAAUUUCUAUUCAUAAUAAUAGUGAAUAUAUUGUACAUCCUAAUUGUGUUUAUAGAAAUGAUAUCCAGUUGCAAUUAUGUUCCCCACAAAAACAUAUUUGUGUUUGCAUUUUAGUUGUGUAGAAACAUAAUUUUGUUCAAGUUUGAAAUACUAUAACUUGAGCAAAAUCUACUAGUAUAUUCUGGGUCAUUAUAAC
rnacentral:lncRNA from 1 species